AAACUUUCAACAACGGAUCUCUUGGUUCCGACAUCGAUGAAGAACGCAGCGAAAUGCGAUAAGUAAUGUGAAUUGCAGAAUUCCGUGAAUCAUCGAAUCUUUGAACGCACAUUGCGCCCUCUGGUAUUCCGGGGGGCAUGCCUGUCCGAGCGUCAUUGCAACCCUCAAGCGCGGCUU
rnacentral:rRNA from 1 species